rfam:Myotis davidii contig86380, whole genome shotgun sequence.
GCCAGUAUUGCUAAGUGGUUAGAGCAUUGGUCUGCAUACUGAAGGGUUGUGGGUUCGAUUCCCAGCCAAGGGCA